GAGCUGCCCGGGAGAGGACUCUCGGGACCCUUCCUUAACAGGAAGCUGGUGGCCCUUGGUCCCUAGUACUUUGUCCCUUCUUCCAUUCAGGAGGUCUGACACAGACCUGCCAUGUUAGACCAUGAGGGUCCUACCUUAAGUUAUGACCCAGUGGCAAUCCUACGUGGGGGUCAACUCCUCCAGGAAGCCUUCCCUGAGUCCUCUUCCUCCAGCUUGCAUUGACCAGAGUCUGGGCUCUCCCAGUCCGCUAUACUCCGCCUAUCAGAGCAUCUGUGACUCUGGUUGUCAAGACCUGUUUACCUGUUUCCCUCACUAGUUCUGAGUGCCUUGGGGGCAGAAGCAGCUGCUGGUUCACAUCUGCAACUAAACUUCUCCCUAUCUGGAAAGGAUAAUAGAAUAAUGCUUGUAAAGCAGUUAGCAUCAUCCUUGGCAUGCUGAUGUAUGCACAGAAAGAAGUCUGGAAAGAUGUCCUCAGACAGAAGUAGCAGUCUCUUCUUGGGGGAAGGGAAGAGGGCGACAGGUCCAGGAGGACUUCUAGCCCCGGACGUCCAGCCCCCAGAGCUGUGAGAGUACGUUAUUUUGGGGGACGAACGCACGCAAUCGAUUGAUUCGCACUACCAUGAUGGACAUUGGGGUGAGUCUGUCUCAGUGACUUUACUUCUGCUUUUUCGCUGUAUUCGGCUGUGUCGACCCCACGUGGAGCAAAACUGAUGCUGUUAGUUUGUUCAGAGAAGCUUGACUUCACUUUGAGAGAUAGGGUGGUGCACAGAGCAGGUGAAAUCCUCAACUCUGUCUGGCUCUGACCAGGUGAAAGUGCAUUUUUCCACCGUGCCACCAGAGUACCUUUCUUUACGCCGUCCAUGUGCCAAAACUAACCUCAGAGAGGCCCUCAGGCUGAGCCGUAGUUAACCUGUUUCUCAGCGGCACUUUGAAAUUUGUGCAGGUGUGCAAUCGUGGUCUUGGCAUUCGCGAAGAUGGUGGUGGGAGGGAUGACCGCCGUUCCUCUGGGCGUCGUGCCUGAAUUGAGUAGGAACCUUCAAGAACGUGUUGUGAUUUGAAAUGCUGAACUUGGUGGUUGGGGAAUGGGCUGGAGGAUGGAGAAAAACAAGGUUGGAGGGAACCUCAAGCAGUGUAAUGGAGGCCGGGGCUGGGGGUCUGGGCUCUGGACUUGAGCUGACCUGGGAUUGAGCACUCCUCCCCCCCGGGGGAACUAUGGACAAGCGCUCUGAGCUCCGGUCUUCUUCUGGGUGACAUAGGGCAGGGUUAUGCAAUGCCUUCUCCUUGAAAAUGCCACCCCCACACGUCAGCACCCCCCCUCCACUGAGAACAGAAAAUGGGGACUAUUAUUUGGGGGUCAGAAUGCAGGUGGCCCCUUUCAUUUUGUUCCAGGCUUUGUGGUCUAUCGUCCUUCCCUGUCUCCAGUUCGCAUUUUCCUCUGUUUAAGCCCACGACACUUUGGGAGCCUUCAGAUCUCACAAAUACACUUUGAUGAUACGGCUCUGCAUCAGCUCCUUUUAUCUUGGGAACACUUCACGAACCAAAGCUAAUCAACACAGAGCAGCCAGGGUCCACGUCUUCCAGAGUGUGCUUCGAAGCCCCCGCCCGGGGGUGCAGUUACGCUGCCCGGGAGCUCACACCUGGCUGGACCUGCCCACCCGGCUCCCACUCUGUGGUGCAGAACACUGCACCCAAGCCUAGGCACCUGCCGCGUGCAUACAGACACCAGCUCUGACUCGCCAGGGCACCCGAGGCAUGCCAAAGACUGUUUCGGCUCUCUACUGCUCAGUAAAAAACAAUGGUCAAACUCAGGGUUUAGGGCAACCAUUUUGUUCUACUCCUAAAUGCGUGGGACAGGGAUUUAGGAAGGAUUCCUCUGGGCUGUUUGUCCCUGACCCGUGUGGUCGGAGCUGGAGGAGCUGAGGCUGAGGACCCACUUCUGGGCGGGUUCUUCUCUCUGGCGUCUGGACCAUCCCUGCUCCCUGGUCUGUCUGUCUGUCUGUCUCUCCCUCUCUCUCUCGCUUCACGCAGCUGGACAUCCUCCAGGCCCUCUGCAGCACUGGGGUGGGGGGAGGGGCGUCCCAGGGUCGCCCAUCCACCUGCUUUUCCUAGAGGGAGUGUUCCUGGUGACCCAGGUGGCAGUUGCACGACCUCUUCCGUCCGCUUUAGGAAGAGUCACGACAGCACUUCUGCAUUCUGCCCGGUCAACAAGUCCCAAGGCCAGUGCAGGUUCAAGGGG